rnacentral:rRNA from 1 species
UGCGUAGGCGGUUAGUUAAGUCUGUUGUGAAAUCCCCGGGCUCAACCUGGGAAUGGCAAUGGAUACUGGCUAGCUAGAGUGUGUCAGAGGAUGGUGGAAUUCCCGGUGUAGCGGUGAAAUGCGUAGAGAUCGGGAGGAACAUCAGUGGCGAAGGCGGCCAUCUGGGACAACACUGACGCUGAAGCACGAAAGCUGGGGAGCAAACA